ACUCCUACGGGAGGCAGCAGUGGGGAAUUUUGUGCAAUGGGGGAAACCCUGACACAGCGACACCGCGUGAGCGAAGAAGCCCCUUGGGGUGUAAAGCUCUGUCGACAGGGACGAAAAAAAUGACGGUACCUGUAGAGGAAGCAUCGGCUAACUACGUGCCAGCAGCCGCGGUAAGACGUAGGAUGCGAGCGUUGUCCGGAUUUAUUGGGCGUAAAGAGUUCGUAGGCGGUUUGUUAAGUCUGAUGUUAAAGACUGGGGCUCAACCUCGGGACUGCAUUGGAUACUGGCAGACUGGAGUAUGGUAGAGGCAAGUGGAAUUCCCAGUGUAGCGGUGAAAUGCGUAGAUAUUGGGAAGAACACCGGUGGCGCAAGCGACUUGCUGGGCCAUUACUGACGCUGAGGAACGAAAGCUAGGGGAGCGAAUGGGAUUAGAUACCCCAGUAGUCCUAGCCGUAAACGAUGGAUACUAGGCGUAUCGGGUAUCGACCCCUGAUGUGCCGCAGCUAACGCGAUAAGUAUCCCGCCUGAGUAGUACGGCCGCAAGGUUGAAACUCAAAGGAAUUGACGGGGGCCCCCACAAGCGGUGGAGCAUGUGG
rnacentral:rRNA from 1 species